GUUGGGAACGCGCCCUUCGGUUCGGGAUAACCCAGGGAAACUUGGGCUAAUACCGGAUACGCCCUUACGGGGAAAGAUUUAUUGCCGAAGGAACGGCCCGCGUCCGAUUAGCUAGUUGGUGAGGUAACGGCUCACCAAGGCGACGAUCGGUAGCUGGUCUGAGAGGAUGACCAGCCUCACUGGGACUGAGACACGGCCCAGACUCCUACGGGAGGCAGCAGUGGGGAAUAUUGGACAAUGGGCGCAAGCCUGAUCCAGCCAUGCCGCGUGGGUGAUGAAGGCCCUAGGGUUGUAAAGCCCUUUCAGCGGGGAAGAUAAUGACGGUACCCGCAGAAGAAGCCCCGGCUAACUUCGUGCCAGCAGCCGCGGUAAUACGAAGGGGGCUAGCGUUGCUCGGAAUUACUGGGCGUAAAGCGCACGUAGGCGGCUUUCUAAGUCGGGGGUGAAAUCCUGGAGCUCAACUCCAGAACUGCCUUCGAUACUGGAAAGCUCGAGUCCGGGAGAGGUGAGUGGAACU
rnacentral:rRNA from 1 species